GCAUCCACUGAUGAGACACUGGUGCAAUGCUACAUUUCUAAGAAACAAACUCAUCAAAGUUUUGGAGCACAUUCACAACAAACUCUUUGGUGAAGCAUUCCUUUAAAACGAACAGGAACUGACUAAAACUUACUUUGAUGGUAGGUUUUUCUGCAUUGCUCUGGCAAUACCAAUAGACUGAGAUAAUAUUAUAUUUCUCGUGGCGCGCGGUGCUGAGCUCAUUGUACUAGAAAGCGCAGUACUUUCUGGCGUAUAUGGCAACAGCUUUUACAUUCCUGCGUCAACCCACAUCGUCAUCUGAAGGGUGACUGAUCAUUUCUGUUAUUGUGUUCAUAUUUUCUAGAUAGCCAUAGUCAUAGGGACAUUAGGUGGUAGUAGACUGACAUAUCUGUGCAGUAUUGGCAUUGGUUGGAUAGAUUUACCUGUAAAGUAGUAAAUGUUCAAUCUACAUUUACAGGAUUAGAGGGUUGCUUCUUGUUUCUCUGAAGUGAACAGAGUUGGUUUUGGGUGCGAUGGCUUCUGCAAACAGAGGCUGGUGAUGUGAAUGAACUGGUUCAAGAGGUAGACAGAGAAGAUCAGUCUGUUUUGUGGUCUAUUUGAUAAAGCAGGAAGCAUAGGUUACAUCAGCGCUCACCUUAAGCAGUGGCUUUGUAAAGUGUGUAUAGUUUGUCUCUUUCGAAAGAAUUGAAAGUGAAAGUAAACUUGUUCUGAUGCACACGUCGACAGCAUAUGAAGGAAACUAUCAUGCUGUAUGAUGUUUCACUUCCUGUUUCUGCUGCAGAAAAUGUAACCUUGUGCUUCCUUUUCUCGAAACUAGAAGAAGAAAUAACCAAACGUGCCUCGGUUAUCUGUGGUUGUGGUGAAGGCCUCUGUCAGAUGUCCCUUCAUCAGUCAGUCUCUCUGCCGUUGUGCUGUAGGCUUCUAGAGAUGCAUUAAAUAAAUCAAAUGAAAGAGAUUAUCUAUUGACCUUUUCUCCAAUCUCCAAAUGCACCAUAGAAUUUGUCUGUAUGAAUAUAUACUGAGAGUUGUGAAGUCAAACAACAGCUUUGUGGGAGAAACAGCCCAGAAUGAUAUCCAAUCAAAUCACAUUUCCACAUUUGAGUUGAUUUUAUGUUAAGCACUUUAGUUUUUGCUUGUUUUUUUGUUUGUGAAAAAUCUUAAGAAUAAAAUUAUUCUCAACUGCUAUUUAAUAAAGUAAAACAUAUUUUGUAUUCACACAAAUCAAAUAAAAAAAGACAAAUCUCUAAUUUUCUUCUUAAGGGCAAAAUGAGAUGUUCUCAACAAAACAUUUUCAGUAAUUUUAUGAGCUAGAAUUGAGAAAUGUCUUCUUCGAUUUAGACCCAAAUAUACUUUCAUUGCAUUGAGCAAAAUUCAUUUCAUUUGAAAGUCAGUAGGUUUGCACAAUUGAGGGUGAGUGAAUAAAUAAAUGGGAAUUAUGUUUUUGAGAGAACGAUCACUUGAAGAACCAAACGCACUCACAUCCAGAGCAUUAUAUCUCCAGUGCAGCGUCUCUUAUGGAGUCGUUCUGGAUGAAUAAACCUGGCUCACAGCCAGAGAAGCGCUGUCUCAUCUCUCUCGUGUGAGUCACUGGUCCUCGGGUCUGACGUCAGGAGUGUGUCGUCACCGCUGUGGCCCGCGGCCGCUGGGUCGGGAACAUGUGUCCUCUCUGCCGGGGCACGGAGGAUGAGGAGAGGAACACGGAUCGGGUCUCCCUGCAGGCCUCGCGCUUUUUAUAGAUCCCAGCCAGCUACAAAGAGACAGAGAGAGAUUAAAGAAGGAUGCUGGAGACGCCGGUGAAGGAAAUGAGGAUGUCUGAUUUGACUUUCUUGUUAUCCUUCUCAAAAUCACAAAGUGCAUGCUAAGAGCUUGUUGUUGUCCUUUAAACAGGAAGCUGCUAUCUAUAGAUCAGGCCUCGUGUGUUUAAAUCAGGCUGUUGUCACACUUAGUUUUGAUUGCUUGCUCUAAAGCUCCAGGAUUAAAUCAAGAAUCACUUUAUGGUUUAGUGCAAUCGUCAAGAUGCAACGGCUGUGAUUUCAUUUAAAUAUAUGCAUGUUGUGUUUUAGAGUAAAGCACAUCACUGUGUUCAUUUACACACGAGCAGCUCGUGAUCUGAUGUUUUCAGCGUCUUAAAGCGUUCUCAGUGAAUGCUGCUUCACAUGAAAUGCGUCACUUUAACGUGCAUUUGGGAACGCAAUAUGAGCCGAACGUUUCCCCAUAUUUAUAAUGAGAAAUGUGAAAUUUGAAUAAUGAAUAAUUUA